AGGACGAACGCUGGCGGCGUGCCUAAUACAUGCAAGUCGAACGGUCUUUCUAUGGAAGCUUGCUUCCACUGAGAAGAUAGUGGCGAACGGGUGAGUAACACGUGGGUAACCUGCCCAUAAGAGGGGGAUAACAUCCGGAAACGGGUGCUAAUACCGCAUAGUUUUCUUGAUCGCAUGAUUGGGAAAGGAAAGACGGCCUUUGUGCUGUCGCUUAUGGAUGGACCCGCGGCGUAUUAGUUAGUUGGUGAGGUAACGGCUCACCAAGACGAUGAUACGUAGCCGACCUGAGAGGGUGAUCGGCCACAUUGGGACUGAGACACGGCCCAAACUCCUACGGGAGGCAGCAGUAGGGAAUCUUCCGCAAUGGACGAAAGUCUGACGGAGCAACGCCGCGUGAGUGAAGAAAGGUUUUCGGAUCGUAAAACUCUGUUGUCAGAGAAGGACAAGUUGGAGAGUAACUGCUCCAGCCUUGACGGUAUCUGACCAGAAAGCCACGGCUAACUACGUGCCAGCCGCAGC
rnacentral:rRNA from 1 species